rnacentral:sRNA from 1 species
GGGUCUCCGCGCUUGUCCCGCCGGCCCCGGCCUCGCCGCCCCGCGCAGUGCCCAGCCCGGCCCUGCCGACCCGCUUCUACCGCUGGCUCCGCGCCCUUCCCCGAGGGCUGGAUGAUGGGCUCUUUCGCCCUGCAAACGGUGGACACCGAGCUGACCGCGGACUCGGUGGAGUGGUGCCCGCUGCAAGGCUGCAGGCACCUGCUGGCGUGCGGGACCUACCAGCUGCGGCGGCCGGAGGACCGGCCUGCCGGCCCCCAGAACAAGGUGUCACAUCCCGGUGGGUGGACAUGCCCUCUUGGGCUUGGCAGAUGCCAGUGGAUCCAUACAACUGCUCCGCCUGGUGGAAUAUGAGAAGAGCCACGUGCUGGAGCCAUUGUCCAGCCUUGCCCUGGAGGAGCAGUGUCUGGCUUUGUCCCUAGAUUGGUCCACUGGGAAAACUGGAAGGGCCGGGGACCAGCCCUUGAAGAUCAUCAGCAGUGACUCCACAGGGCAGCUUCACCUCCUGAUGGUGAAUGAGACGGGGCCCAGGCUGCAGAAAGUGGCCUCAUGGCAGGCACAUCAAUUCGAGGCCUGGAUUGCUGCUUUCAAUUACUGGCAUACAGAAAUUGUGUAUUCAGGGGGCGACGAUGGCCUUCUGAGGGGCUGGGACACCAGGGUACCCGGCAAAUUUCUCUUCACUAGCAAAAGGUAACUGCCCAAGGGCCAGCACUUGGUGCCCACACCAGCCCUCCGGUUCCCUGGGUCAGCAGCCCUCCCGUUUCCUGGGUGGGUCCGUGUGCUGAGCACUGGUUCAGACGCCGCCUCUGCUUGCAGACACACCAUGGGCGUGUGCAGCAUCCAGAGCAGCCCCCAUCGGGAGCACAUCCUGGCCACGGGAAGCUAUGAUGAGCACAUCCUACUGUGGGACACACGAAACAUGAAGCAGCCGUUGGCAGACACGCCCGUGCAGGGUGGGGUAUGGAGAAUCAAGUGGCACCCUUUCCACCACCACCUGCUCCUGGCCGCCUGCAUGCACAGUGGCUUUAAGAUCCUCAACUGCCAAAAGGCAAUGGAGGAGAAGCAGGAGGCGACGGUCCUGACAUCUCACACAUUGCCCGACUCGCUGGUGUAUGGAGCCGACUGGUCCUGGCUGCUCUUCCGUUCUCUGCAGCGGGCCCCCUCGUGGUCCUUUCCUAGCAACCUAGGAACCAAGACGGCAGACCUGAAGGGUGCAAGCGAGUUGCCAACACCCUGUCAUGAAUGCAUAGAGGAUAACGAUGGGGAGGGCCAUGCCAGACCCCAGAGUGGAAUGAAGCCACUCACAGAGGGCAUGAGGAAGAAUGGCACCUGGCUGCAGGCUACAGCAGUCACCACACGUGACUGUGGCGUGAAUCCAGAAGAAGCAGACUCAGCCUUCAGCCUCCUGGCCACCUGCUCCUUCUAUGACCAUGUGCUCCACCUCUGGGAGUGGGAGGGGAACUGAGCUUGAAAUCAUGAAGCCCCUUCCCACAAGGAGACCAGGAGGGAGACUGAGUGAAUGCCCGGGACCACCUCGUCGGAGAUGCUUACUGCAGCCCUGCAGGUGCCUGUGCACUGAUGGAAUCCACAGUGUAGUCAGAAAAGCUGUUGACUUCUCUUAAAUAAACUUCCCUGCUGGGCCCCUGAAAGUGGACUGGGUGAUUCUGUCUGGCAGAGAGUGGGGAAAAGACUCGGUUUCCAGCUUGCAGAUUUGUUAAGUUUCUCAGGCAGAUUUUGACUUUCAGCCUUUCAUACUUGUUUAAGCAACUAUUUAUAUUAAAUGAAUUUUUUUGAAAAA